rnacentral:lncRNA from 1 species
UAAGUGCAUGAUUUGCUAAUUUUGUUAAAAAAAUAGUAAAAAUUCUAAUCUUCAUUUGUAUUGUUUCCUAUAUAAAAAAGCAAACCAUUAGCAAUUAUAGUCCUAUUUCUUAGUCAUAUACUGUCAAUCAGCUAUCUUGAAGAUGGAACUGGGAAACCAGAACUUAUAUUCAACAUGAUAAGGAAAUUUGAAUUCAUUUUAUAUACUAUAAAGUUUAUAAAAGUUAUUAAUAAGUAACCAUAAGAAUGGAUUAAAAAAUAUUUAAAGCAUACCAAUUGACAGAUUUGUAAAUAUCAUUGAAAAAGUCAGAGAUAACUUGGCCGAGAUAUCUAUAGCACCUUUACACUUUAAAAUUUUAAUAUCAAUAUGCCUUCUUAUGAGUUAUGUGUUUGCAUAUUGACUGUGUUCAAAUUUGUUAUUUCAAAUUCCCCUUUGUUUAGGACUCUUGAAAGCACACAGGACUAACUGAGUUAGGGCAAUGGGCUUCCAGUGCCCUCUUGGCUGUCACCUUAUUUAAUAAGGCCUGGCUUGUGCAGUCACUAGUUGGAUUGGAUUAUGUUCUUCCUGACAUUUCCAUUCACUCUGUUGCCCAGCCCUAAAUAUGUUAAGCAAGAUGAGCUAUCCUGGGGCCAGGAUGAUUUUCCUUCAAAAGCAUCCUCAUCAGAUUUAAAUAUUUACUGCUUUCCCCCAUAUCAAAGUCAAUUAAAUAACUUCUCAUACAAUUUAUGAAAGCCAAAAAGCAAUCUAGAAAGGAACACAUCCAAACCCAUUGACUCCAUUGUAGAAAGAGAAAUGAAAACGUGGGUUUCACUGGAGUGUUCUGGCAUGGAAGUAGUGUCUCUUGUUGACUUUAGGAAUCCUGGAAUGUGGCCCUAGGAAGGAAAACCCUUGAACAUUAAGGGGCCCCUUAAUGAAUUUCUCUAUUUCUCUAUGAUCUUUCUUUAGUUCCAUAGCCCCCACCUAAGUAGAGGGUGAGGUCAGAGGGAAUAAAGAAAGACAUAAAGCAAAUUAUGCUGUCGGCUAUCCAAAUUGUACAACCUUAUUCAUGCUGAUUAUGUAUUGCAGGCAUAUGCAAAAAUAAGUUUGCAUAUCCUGAGCAUAUCCGACCUCACCUUUGUUGUGAAUAAAUCACAGACUGUCCUGGAUUCCAGAAGAGUUCCAACCAGUGAAGCUGGCAUUCCAGGAGAAUCCUCUGAUUCUUUUGGCAAAACUGAGUCAAGAACAUAUUGCCAGUUCUUCCUGGGCUCAACUAAAUGUGGAUUCCAUUCACAAUCACUUUUGCUUUGCAUGUUGUGUACGCUUAUGACCAUCAUGUUUAUCAGCAGUUCCAGAGGGCAGCUGCGAGGUUGCUUCCAAAUAUUGCAAUAUGAUUCCAUAAUGUUUUGUAGAAUUUGGAAUCCAUUAUUCUCAUAUUCAAGGACAGGUUUCAGAUUUCAGCAUUGAAAGAUGUCUUCCCAGUUCUUUCAUUGCUUUCAGGGUGCUCAGCUCACAUGGCCUGAGACAGGAAUUGUGCAGCCUCCACAGCCACCUAAACUAUAGACUUUCUAGAGGACUCUACAAAAGCCUGUUUCAUGUGCAGCAUGGUGGAAGAAUACAGUUAACUUUUUCAAUACUAGAACCAUAAAAAUCACUGAAACUAUAUUACCUUUUUGUUUAUCCUAAAAGAGACAAAUAUUCACCCUAUCUAGAAACACAGAACAUCUUCAAAUGCACCUCUGCGUUGUUGAAAAAGGCAUGUUUUGGGGAACUUUAAAGGUGUUGAAUAAUGAAGAAUUCUUUUAUUUAUUCCUUUGAUAAUUCUACUAAAAGUGCAUUUUUUAACAAGAAGACAGUUUCUUUGUUCUUUGUUCAUUAACAUUGCUGUAUUCAACAUAACUUUGAAUCAAAUUAUCCCUUUCACAAAACUGCUCACGUUGUUUCCUGUUCCUUGGCACGAUGAAGCCAUGCAUAUGUAUGACGCGUCACCAAGUGUCAUUUUAGGAAAGACCCUGUUAGUGUGCCUAUGGAGAGAAGCAGAGUUAGAGUAUUGUAGCCAUGGAAGCCACUUUACUUUGCAGCCUUUAGCUUCCUGGAGGGAAUCUGGUGAUGGGAAAGGAAUUCCAUUUUGCAUACUACAUUGUUAGCGUGCAAAUGCUCCACUUAUUUAUAUCAUUCAAUUCAAUCUGGACAUCUUACUUUAAAAAUGUAUAUCUCAGUCCCUCUUUGAAGAAAAAUAUGAUGAAAAUAUAUGAAUUAGAGCUCACAAUUUUACAUUAUUUGUAGAUCAUAAUAACGAUCUUGGCAUUUGUAUUUACCUUACAUAGAGAUGGGAAAACAUUUUGGAAGGUUUUUUGGAGCAAUAGGAGAGGGGAAUGAAAUAUCCCAUUAAAACAGGAAGGACAUUGCUGUCACCUAAUCAGACAGCCUCAGGACUACCAGCAGAUGGUGCAACAACCUAUUUAAUCCUCAGCAUUAUCAGAAAAUAACCAAGAAUGGCAUCUUUCUUUGCUAAUUAAUUCUGAAUACUCCUAAAAAAUUAUGACUUUAAUGAUAAUAGCAUUUAAAACGAUAACCAUAGAAUCUGUAAUAAUUUUUUAAUAAUUAUACAUAAUAUCUGACUUUUUGAACUAAAAGAGACUUUAGAACUCUCUGGUCCAAGCCUUCUGUUUAACAGCUGAGGAAACUCAAGUUCUUAAGUUUAAACUUCAACCACCAGCUAAGGAGGGUCGUGAUGAGUCUUGGUCAUAUGACAGAACCCAUCGCUCAUUGAUUCAGCAACAUUAUCCCUCAGCAAAUACGAUUUCUAGCCCAAUAAUCAAAAUUUGAUGGGGUGGCGGAUGGCAUUUGAUCAUCCAAGUUAAGAUUUUUCAGCAGAUGUUUAUCUGUGGAGACUCUUCUAUUGUAAGAACAUUCAUAGUUUUAGAAAAGAGGCAUUUUCUGGGAGAACAUGCUCUCCUGUCCUCUCUGUUUCCAGCUGCAAACUAACGUGUCAUUUUGCCAAAUGCUUCCUGUCUAGCUUCUGGCUAUUUCUGAGAGAGAGAGAGAAGGUGGGGGCAGGGGGAGAAAGAGAGAGAGAGAGAGAGAUUUUUUUUUACACAUUUGCUUUGUACUAGGAAAAUAUUUCUUAUACAGUCAACAAUAGCAUAUUAAUGGGGAUGAUUUAAGGAGCCCAAGCUUCUAUUCUGUUGCCAGAAUGCCAACGGGAAUGUAUGCUACUUUUCAAAAAAUAGGUGUUGACAAUAGCCUGCAGUAUUGCACUGUAGUCAAAGAAGAGUGCUGAAAGCUUCAGUUCAUAAAAAUGCUUGAUUCAUCAAAAAUAAUCACCUCACCUGAUAAUUGAAAGCUACAGAGAAUUAUUAUGCAGCCGUGGACUCUCAAAAAUUUAUUCAUUUUUGGUAAUUAACAUUAUUUCUUCUUGAUGAUGUUGCUAAAUGGCUUGAACCCAGUCUGAAGAACCAUGCAUGAUCAUUUAUGCUGAAAAGAAAAGAAAUUAGAAGCUUUUGUUGCACAGGUAAGAAAAGAUAAAUUUCUGAAAACCAAAAUGUCCUACCAGGUCUAUCCAUAUUUGUUUUAUUAAUGGGUAAUGCUUUCUAUUAGCUAAUGAAAAGAUGAUGGUAGUUUAACAGUGGAAUAACUUUUAAUAUAUCAUAAUCAGAGAAUACAAGGUAAGCAAAAUUACAAUCCAAUGUCUGAUUAGAAAAAAAAAUUAUUUUAUGGAAUUAAAAAAUAUUAUUUUAUUAAAUAAAAUAUGGUUUUCUUUUGAAAGUAUGUGGAAAUCAAAUUGCUAAGAUCAAUGCAACCAUUUAACUGAGUUUCAUUUUGACAAAAGGCAAUCUGUGGCGAUAUUGCUUUAGAAGUAAGAUGAAAUGCAUAAAUUCAGAUAAAACAUUUUGCCGAUUGCCUGGCUGAAAUAACUGGUUAUUAUUAUUGUUAUUACCAUUAGAAGACAAAAAAAUGGUCUCCCAGUUUUCAGCAUAUGCUACUCUUAAGUAGAAGGACCUUUAACAAAAGCUAAGUGUCCAGGCCUUGGUUUACUCAUCAAAGCAAAUGACCACAUCAGAUGUUCCCUGGGAGCCUUCUGACAUUUAGCAUUUGGUGAUUUUAUCAUCUCACUCCAAGUAAAGGAAGCAGCAAAACCUCUCUGAUUGUAUUUUGAGGUCUCUGCAUAAAUAACUGUAAAGCAUAUUUGACCACAUUAUGAGAAAAUUUGUAAAAUAAAUUUUAUUUGGAAUGCCUACUUGAACUGGAAAUUAACAAUUAGAGGACAUGACUUCCCUGAUGUUUACCUCAUUAGAAAAUGUCUUGGACAAAACGCUGGCAAAAAUCUUCUCUUGAAAACAAUCCUUUAUUAUUUAAAAGGUGGAAUUUAUGCCCCCCAAAUUUAUCUUUCUAAUGAUAUUUAACCCAUUUUGCAUAGCUCGUGUUUUCUUUUGUCCAAUGUUUAAACUAGCUUUUAUUUUUUUAAUGAUUAGAAGCUUGAACAUGUAAAAAAAAAAACAUUAAUGACUUUCAUAGCAUGAACCAGGAAAACAUUUAAAAUCUGUUAAACCUAGUAAUAAUUAUUUCAAAAUGUUGCCUACUAAUGAUGACUUACUAAUUAUCACUUUGUUGUCUUAGUAACUACCUACCCUUGCUGAAGAGUUGACAGAUUUUCAAAUCUACAGAUUGUGACAUAUAAGAAUGUGUGAAACCUGGUGGGUGAGCCAUCUUAGGCCUCAGUUUCUCCAUGUGAAAUGGGAGGAACUGGGCUGAACGAGAUCUAGGUUGUCCUUCCAUUCUGAGUGUGUUCUCUCAAGAUAAUGCUUGUGUUAAUAAGGACUGCAGGGCUCAGUCAGUCAAUGGGUUAUGUUCCUUAAACCUUAUCCAAAACAUCCCGGGUGUUAUGUGUUUCAAAAUUCAGAUUUUUUACAUUUCUUUUGGAUUUUAUAAUGGUAAUACAUUACAAAACAGUAUAUUAUAUAAUCCCCCCAGCAAGGUAUGGGGCAGCUCCAUGUAAUUAAGCUCAUUAUGGAUUCUGUGGCCACUGGUAUGAAAUUGAGGGCGGUGACAAUCAGGGACUCUAAAUAGGUUGUCAUUAGCUCAGGUCAGUUACUGUGGCUAAACACAUUACGGACAAUCUUUUUUUCUUUUUUUUCCUAUUUGUUUUUACUGCAUUUUGGAUUUCAGAAUGGUGGAUAAAGAUUGCGAAUUUGCACAGCUAUAAAGCUUACUAAUUAAAGACUACAAACACAAAGAGAGCAAGCCUUGUGAUGACUGCACAAUAACGAGGAUUCAGAUACAACGUGGUCGCCACCUGACGCCCACCUCCACAAAAAGCCAUUCUCAAAAGGAGAGAGACAUUCAUAUCCAGAAGAGGGAGUCGGCUGUAGGGUAGAGAUGUUCGUCUGAAGAUUUCAAAGCCCACUGCUGAUUUAAGGUCAUUCACAUUCAGCCAUGAAGCUGCUCUGAAGACACAGGAACUGCAUAGCUCCCUACUGGGAAUGUCAAGGGCUGUGAAAGGUCUAAGGUUUUAUCCUACUUGCAACCAACAAGCUAUGCAGCCACAGUUUUAUGGAUGCUGUCAAAAGACAUGACACUCCUGGCAUGCAGUUUAGGCUGCUAACAACAGCAUGAGGGCAACCUGCUGUGGUGACCUAAGCUAUGACACCCCACCCCAAGUCCGGGAUGCAGCUAACUGAGCAAACUGCAUGAACUGGGAGGCGGCCGACCAUUGUUCACGCCUCUCCUUCGCGUAUGUGUUUUCUACUGUUCUUGCACUGUAAAGGCAGAGGUUGCAUCGGGCCCUUAUGCAAAGCCCCAAAUAAUUACUGGCUGACUCUUCUCAGGGAACAUUUGCUAACCCUGUCACAAGCCAUAAGGUUCCACCACAGAUUGCCCUGUGGCUCUCUCGUUACGUUUCUGUGUGGACGUUUCCACAUGGUCUGAGGCAUUCAUCCAAGAAGAGCAGGAUGUAUUAGUGACUGCACAGAUUCUGCCUUGGCCCACAAAGAGGACAUCCAGGGCAGUCCUGGUCAUCUGUAAUAACAUUGCCCAGUGAGUUGAGGCUGACCUGAGUACUGACUUGGGUUGAGUUGGUGUCACUGAUCACUUCAGCCAAAGAUGGGACAUUUCUUAGCACCUGUUCUGAUUGGCUGACUUCUAUGGUCAGGAUAACGGCUCUCAGGAUGCGUAUAACUGCCAAGUCUCUCCGGGAAGCUUCCCUGGGUUACCAAGGAAUCCUCAUGUCUGAGAGAGCUCCACCAUCAUCCAAGGGCCACACGGAGUUUCUUGCAAUGCUUCAAGGUCUCCUGUAAUAACUCCUAUGAUAGAAGUCACUGUGUUUUGGGGAGGUAGACUGCAGCAUGCAGUUUUGACAGCAUGACCAAGGUCAUUGUUCAGGUCUGAUUAUUCAAAUUCAAAAAACUGCAACCUCAGGCAUAAAAGAUUAAGGAUGGAGCCCAAGUCUCUGGGUCCCCAAGGGGGACUGAAGCACAUACUCACCCAUCUGAAUAUGCUGGAGAACAGGAAGGAGAGACUCAAGCUUGUCUGGGUCUGUUGGAUACAGACUCUCCCAUCUCCACCCCAUCAGGUCCUAUGGAGGCCCAAGUUCAGCUGAUGAAGUUAAGGGAGUGCUCAGUGCAGAAGGGUGGGAGGGCACUUGGGGCAUUUUGGGGUCCUGUUUUUGUUGCUUCUGCAUCUGAUACAGCAGGAAUUGAAGUAUUGCACACUUGUCCUUCCCAUUUCCAAGUGCUGCCUUCCCAUCAGUAAGAGCCACAGUUAGAGAGGGACCAACAGGAGGAUAACUCCCACAUGCUUAGCAUUCCAAUAAUGGAACACUAGGCAUAAAUUGAUAAGAUGCUUUCAAUGCAAUCAGUACUCUGCCAGGAUUCACUAAGUAGAGAAUGACUAAAUAUUUACCCAUCUCCUAACAAAAAUGCACAACUGAGGACAGAUGUUUUGCACUUUUAUGUGUCUACGGACUGUGUAAGAGGAUUUGGCUGGGUCAUCAUCUUCUUCUUCUUCUUAGACUGGUUGAUGGUGACCGUUCAUUGAUCCAAUAUGGUAAAGUCAUGUCCUGGUCUGUGUUCUUCGGGGUCCACAACCCUCUUUAACAGCCUGUUGUAAGGUUCUCGACCACGUCACUGUCUAGCUAAACCAUUCUGCAUUUCAGUAGGUAAACCAGCAGGAGGGCUUAAAAACCACAUUGCCCUGUCCACAUCCCUAUUUCUGAUUCUUUUCUGGCCUGCGAUCCUACAUCUCUAUCCUCACUUUAAACUGUUUUCCUCUUUUCUUCUCCUUUUUCCUGACCUCCUUUAUGUUUUUCAUUUCUCCUCCAUCUGAAUAUACCAAACCAUCCUUUUGCUUCCUCUUUUCUCUUCAUUAAUUAUUCUAGGGGCUAUUUUUUUUAUUAGGAAGAUGUAUUAUUUUAACAUGCUUUAUAAAGUUAGUGGCAUUAAGGAAUUAAUGUCCUUGGAAACUCAUACAUGUUCAGCUUCUAGAAACCCCUGAUUCCAAGGAGCAAAAACAUGCCAUCUCUGACAGUGUCCACAAGAACAAUACCAGAUCAGACGAUAAAGCCAACACACAGCAUAGCCAAUGGCCACACAUCCAGAAAACACUCUCAACAAAUUUAACCCUUCAGUAUUCACUGUAGCCAAUAUAUAUUCAAUAUAUAUAGCUGACUUUGUUUUUAUAUUUGAUGAAGUCCUGCUAUUUGAAAUAAAAUAAUCAAACCAACAACAACAACAACAAAAACCCCAUACAUGGUGAUAGCAUAUGUGAGGCAGUAGCAAUUUCUCCAUCUUUUCUGUCCUGUCUUUCCUGUUCUUCGUUCCCAUGCUAAGAAGGGAUGGAUAUAUCUCGGAGAUUACACAGGUUCUAGUCAAAGACUUCAUUGUGAACGUUUGUUUCACAUUUUCCCUGGAUAAGGACUAAUUAAAAGUUUGGAAAAGUAUACCUUUUUUUUUUUUUUUUUUUGCAAACUUACCCAUAUUAUGUGCUUUUUCUUGAUACAGCUGCUAAUCUUUGCUGUAUAUGUAGUGUUAGGAAGUCUACUUUAAUACACACACACACGUUUAAUGAGGUAAAAUAUGCAUAACAUAAUUACCAUUUUAACAAUUUUUAAGUGUAGAGUUCAGGGGCAAGUACGUUCAUGUUCUUGUGCAACUAUCACCACCAUUUUUUCUCCAGAACCCUUUUUAUCAUCUCAAACUGAAACUCUGCACCCACUGAACAAUAACUCCCCGUUCUCUCCUCCUCCUAGACCCUGGUAACCCCUCAUCUAUUUUCUGUCUCUGUGUAUUUGACUAUUCUAGGUACCACAUUAACGUGGACUUACACAGUAUUCGUCCUUUUGUGACUGGCUUAGUUUAUUUAGCAUAAGAUCCCCAAGGUUCAGCCGGGUGCCGUGGCUCAUGCCUGAAAUCCAAGCACUUUGGGAGGCCAAGGUGGGUGGAUCACCUGAGGUCAGGAGAUUGAGACCAGCCUGGCCAACACGGUGAAACCUCAUCUCUACUAAAAUACAAAAAUUAGCUGGGCCUGGUGGCGGGCGCCUGUAAUCCUAGCUACUAGGUAGGCUGAGGCAGGAGAUUAGCUUGAACCUGGGAGGCGGAGGUUGCAGUGAGCAGAGAUGGGACCACUCCACUCCAGCUUGGGCAACAGAGCAAGACCCUGUCUCAAAAAAAAAAAAUUCAAGGUUCAUCCAUGCUGUGGCAUGUGUCAUAAUUUCAUUUCUUCAUAUUCCUGAAAUACAUUUCUAAAUAUAAAUUUUUCAUUACUGUUUUCAUUUCAAGUUAAGUUUAUCAGAUCCUGUAGUCCAGGGACUUCAGUCUCUUUGAAUUAUGUCUUUCUUGGACAAUUUGGGAGCUCUUUUGAGAAACUGAAUACAAUUUGAAUACACUAAAAUCUGAAUCACACCAUAGAUAACGACAUAGUGUCUUAGUGAGAAGAAAUUUGAUUCUGCUGACUAGGAUACUAAAGUUUGACCUUUAUGGUCAUCUCUUAAUAAAAUAAAAGGAGAGCACUGGGCUAUUAAAUAGUUUAUUCAUGGAUCAUAGGGUGAAUAAGACCUAGAUCCUAGAGGAAAUCCUCCCCACAAAGACACUCAGACUUUUAUUCCUGUCAAUGUUCUUGUGGAUUUCAGGGAGCAAUGAUGGCUAUAAAUCUGCAACUCAUAGCAUUUCAGGCUAAACACAUUCAGCCUUUAUUACCAUUGUUCAUUUGACCUCUUUAUCCAAUUUUUUUCCCACCCACUUGCCAAUAUCACCUUGUUCUUAUGUAGGCUGUGUUUCAGCCAGCUUAAGCCUUACUAACAAAUGAGGUGAAAUCCAUCUGAGGAGGAAGCCGGGGCAUGGUGGAUUGAAAUAGCUUGCCUCAGGAGCAGAAAAUUUGGUGUGGAUCAAGAAAUAGAACUCCAAAGUAUACCUUUCCAGUCAUUGGCUUUAGCUGGAGCCAGCAUCCUUCAAUGAAUCAGUCAACAUUUACCUAUCUGUUCCCCACAGCAGUUUUGCAAAUCGCUUUCAGAAAUCAUUGAACCACUAACAGUUUAUCCACUCUGCAAAAUAUACACAGCUCUUCCCAUAUCCAGGAGGGUUAUCCCUUCUCAGCUGCGUUCAACACUUUUUACAACCCCUGAUUUCAAUAAGCAGAAUACAUCCACCUGCUUAGGGAAAUUACUCUUACCAUAUAAUUGCCUCUUAUGUUGAAAUGUCCAUGAGACCCUCUCAUGAAAUAGGGGACAAGAUAAAGCACAGAUUUUCCCCCAACUCAAACAUGCCUGUCUCAUACAUGUCAUGCCCUUGGAAAUGGCCAACACUGCUCUCUGCCUCCUGUUUAGGGUUAAGGCUUUCACUAUCUCUUGCCACCUCUGAUGAAAUUACUAACAAAUAUAUUAUCCUUACCCUUUGUCUUCUAUUCCAGCACUUCAAAUGCAUCAAAGGUCCAGAGAGAAGCUUCUUCUGGUCACCUUGAUCUUGUGAUGCAAGGCAGGUGGGAGCAAGGGCUCCACCUCUGCAGACACAGAGAUGACGGGGUCGCCAUGCCGGCGUUUUAGUCCCGGUUUCCUCUGCUCGAGUAGUUGGUGGCCUCCUGCCUGUUCCCUAACAUAACUUCACUUUCCUUACCUGCAAAACGAAAUUAGUAUUUCCUCCCUCACAAGGUGCUUGAUGCCCUUCCCCUUGCGUUUACUUUGCCUGAGAGACUAUAUCAUAUCUAUGAUUUUGUGAAUGGGGCAAAAGGAAUUGAGAGUGUCAGGGUAUACCUUAUAAAUAAGCCACUAAAGGUUACAUCCUCAUUCCACAAACUGACCUAAACAAUUUGGCUGUCACUAAUAGAUUAUUUUGGUCAGUUAUGGCAUUUAGAGGGAGAAGAGAGAGUAUAUAUAUAUGGGUGGGGUGUGUGUGUAUGCGUGUGUAUGUGUGUGUUUACAGUCAAAAUACCAAAAUAUAUCUAUGUAUAUAAAUAUAUUUGCUUUCUUUGUUUUUGUUACAAUAAACUUGUACAUACAAUUCUGACACACAUAUUUUCAUAUGUAGGCACAAAAAUAGUCAUACAAAAAAUACCACAAAAGGUAAUAACAAAGUGGAAGAAGACAUAGGAACAGAGAACAAACCAACACAUAGAAAAAGUAACAAACAUGGUAGAUACGAAUCCAGCUAUAUCAAUAAUCGCGUUAAACAUCAAUGGUCUUAAAUAUACUAGACAGUGGAAUAUUAUUCAGCAUUGAAAAGAAAUGACCUAUCAAGCCAUGAAAGACAAGGAGGAACCUUAAAUGCAUGUUACUGAGUGAAAGAAGCCAAUCUGAAAAGGCUGCAUCCUGCAGGAUUCUGACUCUAUGACAUUCUGGAAAAGGUAAAACUACUAAGACAGUGAAAAGAUCAGUAGCUGCCAGGGGUUACGGGAAGGGGAUGAUGAAUAAGUGGGGCACAGCAUUUUGAGGAGGUGAAACUACUCUGUAGGAUACUGUAACAGUAAAUCCAUGUCAUUAUAUGUUUGUACACACCCAUAGAACACCAGGAGGACAGCACCAAGAGGGAGCCCUAGUGUGAACUGUGGACUCUGGUUGGUAAUGAUGUGCCUGUGAAGCUUCAUUGUUUGCAGCAAAUGCAUCAGUGUGGUGGGGGAUGUUUCUAAAUUGAUAAUGAAGGACGCCAUAGGUGUAUGGGGGCAGAGAGUUUAUGAGAAAUCUGUACCUUUUGCUCAAUUUUACUGAACAUAAAACUGCUGAAGCCAUCAUUCUCAGCAAACUAACCCAGGAGCAGAAAACCAAACGCCGCAUGUUCUCACUCAUAAGUGGGAGUUGAACAAUGAGAACACAUGGACACAGGGAGGGGAACAUCGUCACACACCGGAGCCUGUCGCAGGGUGGGGAGCUGGGGGAGGGAGAGCAUUAAGACAAAUACCUAAUGCAUGUGGGGCUUAAAACCUAGAUGAUAGGUUGAUAGGUGCAGCAAACCACCAUGGCACAUGUAUACCUAUGUAACAAACCUGCACAUUCUGCACAUGUAUCCCAGAACUUAAAGUAAAAUAUAUUAAAAAAAUUAAAGUCUAUUUUAAAAAAAGAAAAACAAUCAGCUAACCUACUUUGGUAGCUCUGUUCUGCGCUGUCGGGUCUUCCAUCCUAGCGUGUGACACAGGAGGGUUUCGCUGGCAGGACCCGCCCACUGCACAUGCAGGUUCAGGUGACAGAGACCUCUGGAAAGAUGAGGCCCGUGGGAGCAGGGGGCUUCUUGUUGACACUGAAGGUCAGGCUUCAGGAAUGCCAGGGGCUCAUAAAAUCUUUUUCACUGAACAUUAUGCUGAGCAGGAUUCAUUUUACCAGUGAAAAAAUAUUUCUGACAUCCUUUGUGCUUUUUAACAAAGCCUGUGGUGUGGAUUUGCAUGAUUCUUAGAUUGCUGAGUAACCACUUCGGGAGGGUUCUUGAUUAGGGCACUAAAAAUGUUAACACAACACCCGUGGGAUGUAGAUUAAGGUCAACUUGUCCUUGUGCGUCUCUCCUAGUGUUGAUGGCAGAGUCUUAGUAUUUCAGCUGACGAAAUCUCUGCCCAUUCUCUUCCAAUGUUCCCUAAUAAGCUACAGGAGGACAGAGACAAAAGUUUGACUUCAUUAGUAACUUUUGGAAGUUGCCCAAUUUAGGAAAAAGAGUUAAUAAAUCAGGAAUUUUAUAAGAACUUUUUGUUAAAUCUGUAGUUAUUCAAAUCAGCCUCAGCAUGAUAAGACAACACUACAGGUUAUUAUAAAUAGUUGAAAAAGAAAAAUUAAAUUCCAACCAAACAAUUGAUCCUUAACUUUUUUUUUUUUUGAGA